UUAGCUCAGUUGGGAGAGCACCAGCCUUACAAGCUGGGGGUCACUGGUUCGAACCCAGUA
rnacentral:tRNA from 1 species